rnacentral:pre_miRNA from 1 species
AAAGUACUCCCUCUGUUCGGAAUUACUUGUCGGAGAAAUGGAUGUAUCUAGACGUAUUUUAGUUCUAGAUACAUCCAUUUUCGAGACAAGUAAUUCCGAACGGAGGGAGUAGCAU